rnacentral:lncRNA from 1 species
UCUUUCCCAAUCCUCCUGUCUUAGCUUUUCGGAGACCAGCAAGUCUGAAAGACUUAUUUGUAAGAGCUGACGUCUCCUCAAAUAAAAGCUGUUCAAUUGCAGGAUGGUGCAAGUCAUGUGGUAACAGACGUUGUCUGACUUGUCAACAAAUACUAAAUACUCAAACAUUUACUUGCCACUCGACUGGGUCUGUGUACACUAUAUUUUGCAAUGUAACUUGCAAAACCCAGAAUGUUGUAUACCUCCUUCAGUGUCGAUGUGGCAUGCAGUAUGUUGGCGAG